CCUACGGGAGGCAGCAGUGGGGAAUAUUGGGCAAUGGACGCAAGUCUGACCCAGCAAAGUCGCGUGAAGGAAGAAGGCUCUCGGGUUGUAAACUUCCUUUUAGGGGGAAGAGAAGAAGACGGUACCCCUUGAAUAAGCCACGGCUAACUACGUGCCAGCAGCCGCGGCAAUACGUAGGUGGCAAGCGUUGUCCGGAUUUACUGGGUGUAAAGGGCGUGCAGCCGGGGAGACAAGUCAGGUGUGAAAUCCACGGGCUCAACCCGUGAACUGCAUUUGAAACUGUUUCCCUUGAGUGUCGGAGAGGUAAGCGGAAUGCCUAGUGUAGCGGUGAAAUGCGUAGAUAUUAGGAAGAACACCAGUGGCGAAGGCGGAUUACCGGACGAUAACUGACGGUGAGGCGCGAAAGCGUGGGGAGCAAACAGGAUUAGAUACCCGUGUAGUC
rnacentral:rRNA from 1 species